AUUGAACGCUGGCGGCAAGCCUAACACAUGCAAGUCGAACGAGUGGCGGACGGGUGAGUAAUGUCUGGGAAACUGCCUGAUGGAGGGGGAUAACUACUGGAAACGGUAGCUAAUACCGCAUACCCUCGGAUGUGCCCAGCUGGGAUUAGCUAGUAGGUGGGGUAAAGGCUCACAUAGGCGACGAUCCCUAGCUGGUCUGAGAGGAUGACCAGCCAAACUGGAACGGCGACACGGUCCAGACUCCUACGUGAGGCAGCAGUGGGGAAUAUUGCACAAUGGGGGCAAGCCUGAUGCAGCCAGGCCGCGUGUAUGAAGAAGGCCUUCGGGUUGUAAAGUACGUUCAGCGGGGAGGCGUUACCCGCAGAAGAAGCACCGGCUAACUCCGUGCCAGCAGCCGCGGUAAUUC
rnacentral:rRNA from 1 species